UCACGGCUGACUAUCCAACCGAAGGCUGAAUAUCCAACAACGGCUAAUAUCCGACCGAAGGCUUAAGUGUGAACAUGACCAGAUCUUCACAUGCUGGGAUUCUCUACAGCGAUGCCCGAGCUCCACACACACAGCUGAGCCGAGAUGUGUGUUAGUUAAAGGUUAAAACACGCAGCACCUGACUGGGAACGAUACAGAGAGAGUUACCAACGGCUGCUGGGGCAGAUAAACUCACGCUGGUCUCUUUUCUGUAAAUAGGCUACAAUUAAACCUUCGUUGUGCAGGACUUGGAGGUCCUUCAUGAAGAGACAUCAGACUAGAUGUUGGUGAUCUGGAGAAGAUGAGUCACACUGGAUCCAAACACAGCUCACACACAGGUCCUGAGUCCUCCAGAGUAGAAGAGAGGGUCUGCAGAGGAUGGCAGGGGCUCCUGCAGCAGAGGACCAGGUGGUGGUGGCGGCAGAGGCGGCUCCAGGAGGGGCUCCUGCAGCAGAGGACCUAGCGGCAGAGCAAGGGGCAACUGUGGUGGUGGUGGGGGGGGCGAGAAGAGCCUUUUUCUCGGUGCCUUGGAGGAGGGCUUAGGUCCACGCUGCUGUUUGGCCUCCUCCAAAGCUGCCCUCACCGGAGAGUCGUCUUUCUAGGGCCAGCCUUGGGGAAAGGAGGGACAAUCUCCGGGCUGAUUUCUUCGUCAGAGACUUCAGUGAGAGAAGAAAAAGACGAAGAGGAUAGAUUAACGUUUAUGAACUUUUUUUAUUCUAUUUAUUGGUUCGUUCAUGGACUUAAUGUUGCCUAGCUGGAGCAGCGCUGGCGUUUCCAGCCUCCUGGACCUGGUCCCCUGGGGGGGAGGAGGACGCUCAGUAACGUAUGACGGCACAAAUCAUCCUCGCUGAAUUUUGGGUCUGAAAUGAAGUUAAUAUUUGACUAUUUCAGUUUCAAAAUCUGAGGGAAUUACUGGAAUUGUUGGGGCUUUGUAAAUUAUAGAGUGUGGCCUAGACCCACUCUAUCUGUAAAGUGUCUCGAGAUAACUGUUAUGAUUUGAUACUAUAAAUAAAAUUGAAUUGAAAAUCUCAGCAUUGCCUCCACGCAUUGACAAACUCAACUUCCCAGAGGGCCACACUGGAAAAAAAGAAUCGCAUCAAGGGCCAGACAUGUUUAGUUUAUUGAUAGGCUUUUAUUUAAUUGAAAAAGUAAAAUAUAUUUGACUGUAUUAUUGCAUGUGUCAUAUUAGUCUUCUCAUUUACACUUUGGUCCACAUAAAGUCUUAAAGAAGUCAGGAGAAAGUGUGUUUUAUGAUACUAAAAUAAACAAUUUAAACUA